rnacentral:rRNA from 1 species
AUGUCUUGGGUAAAACUGGUACUGAUAUUGAGCCUUGGUCCACAUCAUGGAAUGAGUUGCUUAUUCCUUUGGUGCCAUCCUAGUUGUAGAAUGAACCAGACAUGUUUAAAUGAAAUUUGCACUGUAAUGACAAAUUUUCCGUCAAGUGAUGUCUCCGUGGAUAAUAAAAAAUUGUGGAAGCUCAAAAUACCACAUAGGAUCAAAAUAUGCUUCUGGUUUCUCCACCAAAGAGUGGUCCUGACUAGAGACAACCUAGCACAUUGUAACAGGCAGGGUAGCAGGAGUUGUGUAUUUUUUCACCAUGAAGAGUCCAUGAAACACUUCUAUUAA